GCUCCUUCUGUGCACAUGCACCUGUGUCCUUGUGCUGGCUGGGGGUCUUGGGAUGUCACCAUCCUCUUGGAACGCCUGCGACAAGUCCUUUAUGGCAGGCAAGGUCUUUAUUGCAGGACCUGGGGAGUGUCGCCUGGAGCUUUACAGUUUUCUUGUCACCUUUGAGUCUUAACUAAGAAGGCAGGAUGGGAGGGGAAGGGGAGGCUUCAAUGUGUGAAAGCACCAAACCCAACACAAUUUAUGUGGACAUUGUGAUCAUUUCUAUGCUGAAUUAAUGAACUCUAUCCUCUCCUUUUUUGGCUGGAAGAACACAAAAAUCCCAAUGAAAGGAAACAGAUGUCGUUGCUUUGAGCGUUUCCAAAGGAAACUGCAGUAAAAUCUGAAACACGCGGUGGAAAGGCCUGCUGUGUGACGGCGCUGCUCUGACAGCGCUGCCCUCCGCCAGCUGGAGCAGAUGGAUGAUGCCGUAAUUACAUGUUGAUUAUGUGUGAUAACACAGGAAGUACAGCCAGCACACAGGAGGCCUUCAGGAAAAUUGAUUGUUGAGACUUUGAUGAUCACGUGCAGCUUGAAACGGAUUUUGGAGAAAAGCAGCCUCAGAGACCGCACCCCUGAUUUUCCUCUCCUGCAGUCUCGUCCAGGCCUGUUCCUUCCCCGAGUCAACAUUCCUAAUGCUCCAUCUUAUAGAAAAAUUCUGACCCACAGUGGGUUCCACCCAGUGUCUCUCCGUCCCUACAGAGUCAAUGUCCCAGAGGUUGGUUUUGUUGCCUUUUCUUCAACCUUUGCCUCCACCGCAGUGUGCUGCCACCAACAGCCACUGAAGCCCUGGCUGCACCUGAGCUGAGCUCUGGGCUUCCCUCCUGCUCCGGGUCAUGUGCUCCGUGGCCCCAUGGGUGGCCACUGCCCUGUUCUGGAGGGCAGCAACUGGGCAGAUGGUUAGCAACUACUGAAACUGCACCAGUGCACCAAGCAAAUAGAUUGUUUAAUUUGAAUUAUAUAAAAUUUAAAUUUGAGUGGUCAUUGAAAACCUUUUCAGCAUGGCUGCAGCUACAUGGGUCUGUGUGGCUAGUGUUUUCAUCUGUGUGUGCUCUGAAAUCUACAUUCAGAGCAAGCAUUUCUGAUGAAAAUGUAGUGUCUGAAUGGAGAUGGGCCGAAGGGUAAGAUACACGGUGGGUUUCUGCGAUCUGUUUUAAAAAGAAGAGUGUAAAAUCUCUCAGUAUUUUCUAUUUGAUUACAUUUUGAAUUCAUAAUAUUUUGUCUACAUGGGGUUAAGCACAAUUUAUUAUUAAAAUAAUUUGUACCUGU